rnacentral:tRNA from 1 species
GCCCUCGUAGCUCAAUGGACAGAGCGGGACGCUUCUAUCGUCAGGGUUGUGGGUUCGAUUCCUGCCGAGGGCACCA